ACACAUUUGCUUACUUUUUCAUAAUCGAUUAUUAUUCGAUGAUUAAAGUCAAAUCCUUUUUUGGAGCUUCAGUUUUAAGCAAGGCCUUAAAUAGUGUUUAUAGUAACUCAUUCUGUCUUUUCUAUGGGCUACACCUUGACCUGAUUUGGAGGGAGGCUGUUGAGAAUAUGUUUUAAAGAAGUAUUCUUGAAACGGCGGUAUAUAGACUUUAUUAGGAAAGUGAGAUUUAGCGGGGAUUGUCGAUUAGGGAACAAGUUCCUCUGAUUAGGGCUAAUGCCGCCAAACUACAUUGGUUUUUCUGGGGGGUACUACCUAAUGAGAGAGGUA
rnacentral:rRNA from 1 species